GGGGGGGGGGGGGGGGGGGGGGGGGUGGGGUUGGCGGGGGGGGGGAGGGCCGGGGGGAGCGGGGGAGCGGCGUAGGGGUGGGUAGCACGGGUGCAACCGACCUGUAUCUGGGGGAUAGCCUUGCGACAGGGAGGGUAAUACCCCAUAAUAUACUGAUUGGCAUCAAGUAGGAUUGAAAACUCCGGUGGAUAGAGAUGGGCACGCGCAAGAUUAGAUAGUUGGUGAGGUAACGGCUCACCAAGUCAAUGAUCUUUAGGGGUCCUGAGAGGGAGAUCCCCCACACUGGUACUGAGACACGGACCAGACUCCUACGGGAGGCAGCAGUGAGGAAUAUUGGACAAUGGGUGAAAGCCUGAUCCAGCCAUCCCGCGUGAAGGAUGACGGUCCUAUGGAUUGUAAACUUCUUUUGUACAGGGAUAAACCUACUCUCGUGAGGGUAGCUGAAGGUACUGUACGAAUAAGCACCGGCUAACUCCGUG
rnacentral:rRNA from 1 species